rnacentral:rRNA from 1 species
UACGUAGGUGGCAAGCGUUGUCCGGAUUUAUUGGGUUUAAAGGGUGCGUAGGCGGUUUUUUAAGUCAGUGGUGAAAUACUUCAGCUCAACUGGAGAGGUGCCAUUGAUACUGGAGAACUUGAGUACUGAUGAGGUAGGCGGAAUGGACGGUGUAGCGGUGAAAUGCUUAGAUAUCGUCCAGAACACCGAUAGCGAAGGCAGCUUACUAAAGAGUAACUGACGCUGAGGCACGAAAGUGUGGGGAUCAAACAGG